rnacentral:rRNA from 1 species
GAUGAACGCUGGCGGCGUGCUUAACACAUGCAAGUCGAACGGUGAAGGCGGAGCUUGCUCUGCUGGAUCAGUGGCGAACGGGUGAGUAACACGUGAGCAAUCUGCCCCUGACUCUGGGAUAAGCGCUGGAAACGGCGUCUAAUACUGGAUACGAGCUGCGAAGGCAUCUUCAGCAGCUGGAAAGAACUUCGGUCAGGGAUGAGCUCGCGGCCUAUCAGCUUGUUGGUGAGGUAACGGCUCACCAAGGCGUCGACGGGUAGCCGGCCUGAGAGGGUGACCGGCCACACUGGGACUGAGACACGGCCCAGACUGCUACGGGAGGCAGCAGUGGGGAAUAUUGCACAAUGGGCGAAAGCCUGAUGCAGCAACGCCGCGUGAGGGACGACGGCCUUCGGGUUGUAAACCUCUUUUAGCAGGGAAGAAGCGAAAGUGACGGUACCUGCAGAAAAAGCGCCGGCUAACUACGUG